CGAGCCGGCCGGGCGGCCGCGUCGGGACCCUCCGGGGUCCCGCCGAGGAAGGUCCGGGCUCCACAGGGCAGGGUGGUCGGUAACACCGACCCGGGGCGACCCGCGGGACAGUGCCACAGAAAGCAAACCGCCUUCGCGGAAGCGGAGGUAAGGGUGAAACGGUGGUGUAAGAGACCACCAGCGCCCGAGGUGACUCGGGCGGCUAGGUAAACCCCACCCGGAGCAAGGUCAAGAAGGGAACGCGCGGCGCGUGUUCCCGCGCGAGACGCUGAGGGCUGCCCGCCCGAUGUCUCGCGGGUAGACCGCUAGAGGACGCGAGCAAUCGCGCCCCCAGAUGGAUGGCCGCCGGGCCCGCGCAAGCGGACCCACAGAACCCGGCCUACAGGCCGACUCGUCCG
rnacentral:RNase_P_RNA from 1 species